GCUACUUCUAGUUUUAUUGAAAGAAAUCACUACCAGAGAGAAGUCAACCUACUAAUUUAUAGAAGAAUGGCAUGGGGAGGGAUAGAUGUGUAAAAGCGGGUGGAAAUAGAAACGGAGAAUAGUCAUAAAAUUUAAAAAGGCCCAGCACUCCAAAAAAAACAACAGGUGUGGGGUGGAGGGGAUCCUGGCUUUCUUUUCACACUAGGGGCUGAUGGGCAUCCUUUAAAUCUCAGUUCCAGGCCAGCCUGGAAUGGCUGAGAUGCUAACCCCUUUCCCUACCACACUUAAUGAAACUGCAAAUCCACCAGAUGGGCACUGGUUCUCAUUCCUCACCACCCCUCCACCCCCAUUUUCCACGAGCCCCAUACCUGUCAAAUAAUCAUCUGUUUAUCCAUCACCUGGAACUCAUUUCCAAAAUGGUAAUCAAGGGUGUUGACAAAGGGAAGUCUCGGGAAAGGUUCUCUUCCAUGCCAAGUUUGUUUUAAAAGUACAAUUGAGGCGCCAUGGAUAGGAAAUGCUUUCCCCAUUCCUUGAGACUGUGAGUGCUUCCUGCCAACAGUGCAGCUCUAUGGAAGUUGGUUGAAUUGAACUGAGUUGAGUUUGGCUAGUUGCCAAAGGACAGACACAGAUGGUAAGCACUGUCGGAGUCCAGAAGGCUGGCAAAGCCACAGUGGGCU
rnacentral:lncRNA from 10 species